rnacentral:rRNA from 1 species
UACAGAGGGGGCAAGCGUUGUUCGGAAUUACUGGGCGUAAAGGGCUCGUAGGCGGCCAACUAAGUCAGACGUGAAAUCCCUCGGCUUAACCGGAGAACUGCGUCUGAUACUGGGUGGCUUGAAUCCGGGAGAGGGAUGCGGAAUUCCAGGUGUAGCGGUGAAAUGCGCAGAUAUCAGGAGGAACACCAAUUGCGAAGGCAGCUCGCUGGGACGUUACUGACGCUGAGACGCGAAAGCGUGGGGAGCAAACAGG